CACCGCCUCGGUGCCACCGUGACGCCUCAGCCAUGGCCGACCUGGAAAACGACACCCGUUUGACCUCCCAGGUCUGCCGCGCCUGCGCGUAACUUUUCGACACGCGCCACCUAGCUCCUGCGCCUGCGCAAACCCUCCCGCUUCUCCACCUGCGCAAGCCUUUCUACGAGUGACAAGCGCGCGUGCGCACCGAGGACGCUCUGGAAAGCGGCAGGCUGAGGCGGGGUUAGGAAUUGCGGCGCUUUAUCUCUGGCGGAGGGGCCGACUUCUAGGGCAAAUCUGGCUUCGGGCCUGGGGUUGGUGGUGAAAGUCGUAGUAAUUAAUUGUAACGGGCUACUGUUUCUUGAACACCUUUUACAUUUAUUGGCUUGUUUAGUCUUCACAUCCCCCCUUCCUGAAAGGAACUCUUGAAGAUCCCUCUGAAGGCUUACCCAGGACAUCCAGCUGCACAGUAAAGGUGGCUUCUCCUGCUCUGUUCUUGGCAACACAUGCAUAGGCUCCUGCAUCUGAAGCUCUGACCACUUCAAAGAUGAGUGAAUGAAAACCCUUUUCAGACACUAUCAUUUUGUGCAAGUCAUCUGAUUGAACUGGUCUUCCAUUCAGAUACCAUGACACAUCAGGAGCUGGCAGUCCGCUGACCUGGAAAGGAAGACACAAGAAGGAGAUGACAGAAUUUUAAAUUAUAUCAUCACUGGUACCUAUUUGUCCAUUUACAACUUUUAACAAUUCUAGUAUCUGAGUGGGUUUGUGAUUGACAGUGCAAAGCAAGAGCUUAAAAAGGUGUUUGCUUUCAACAAUGUUUAACAAAACAGUAGAAAUUAAACUCUCGAAAUCAAUGUAGUAUUUUCAGACUACAUCAAACCACAUCUAGCUCUUUCGUAUGCACCAUGAGGCCCUGUAAGAUGCCUCAGUUACUAUAUUUAGAACAUUAACUUACGUUAUAUAGGUCUCCCCAAGAAAUAUGAAGUGAUACGGGUUUUUUUUGAUAAUGUGACUGCAGUUGAAGUCUCAGAGGGACAUAUCUGUGAUGCUUGCUGAUCUAAUGGAUGACUUUACCAAAGUAGAAUGCUCUUGAACUGUAAUUUUGGUGUUUAAAUUCCAGUUUAAGUGUUUUCUUAUAAACCUUAACAAUUAAAUCCAUACAUGGACUUUCAUUCACAAGGAAUCCAGAAAAACAUUUUAUAAGAAAAAGGUCUCCAAAAUGAGAACAAUAAAAAUGUAGGUCUUUCUAAAGAUCACUUCUAGCAUGAAGAUCUCUUCUACGCCAGUGAAUUUGAACUGUGGUUAUUGCCUGGACGUGGCAUUCAAAUGUGACAGACUGACCACUGGUUGUAGAGAUGUCUUGAAGAUGCUGAAGAAGAAACAGAAUUCACAGAGUGGAAGAAACUCUUUCACCAUAUGCAAUGAUUUAGGAUGCCUUCUGUGGUUGAUGGAAAUUUGAUCUCAUUGCACAAGUUUUCUGUAUAAGUGAGGAAGAGAAGAUUUAUAAGUUGCCCACAUACCCGACUCUACUACAGGCUGAAACUAGAAGGGGAAGAUGGAUUUAACAGCACACUGUAUUUGCAACCUCUCUUGUACUACUUCUUCUCCCAAGACUGUUGAGCUCAUGGAGGCCAGGGACUUUUAUCCCCAGUACCCAGCCCUUGAAUGAAUUAAGUGAAAGGGUGAGUAAAUAAAAAUGGAAUGUUCUAAAUGUUUUUAUUUUAGAAGGCUCAUAUUCUGGUGUGAGUCUGUGCAUGUGUUUAUAUUUGGGUAUGUGUAUUUUAGGGCAGAGAUAUUCUGAGAAAUGUGAAAUUGUUAAGUCUUCUGAACUAGUCCAUUUAGGCUGUUAUAACAACAAUGCAGAGACUGGGUGGCUUUUAAACAACAGAAAUUUCUUUCUCACAGUUCUAGAGGCUGGGAAGUGUAAGAUGAAGGUGUUUGCAGAUUUGGUAUCUGAUAAAUGCCUGGUUCCUCCUUUGUAGUUGGCCAUCUCCUCAUUGUGUCUUCAUAGGAUAGAAGACUAGAAAGCUCUCUGGGGUCUCUUUUAUAAGGGUACAAAUCCCAUUCAUGAGAGAUCCACUCUCAUGUCCUAAUUACCUUCCAAAGUACCGCCCCCUCAAAAUACCAGCACAGUGAGGAUUAGGCUUCAACAUAUGAAUUUUGGGGGACACAAAACAUUAAGUUUGUAACAUCUUCUGCCUCUGAUAAUCCACCACAACCUCCUACACAUCUGGCUGGAAAUUUAGUAUCUAUUGUUACUGGAGUUUUACAUAUAAGAAUUCCAGGUUUAUUUGGGGUCAGGAACAUGGAUUUGGUCCCACAACCAAGGCAGUUUACCUUGCUUUCAAAAUAAUUCAUGACCAGCCUGCAUUGGUGUGUGUGUGUGUGUGUGUGUGUGUGUGCGCGCAGGGUGGGGUGGAUUGGUGGGGCUAUAUACUUGCUGGGCCACCAUUUCCUCCAGUGGAUAAAAAGCCAGAAGCUUCUGGUUACUUCUUUUAAAAAAAACUUUUAAUUUUAAAAAUAGAGAUAUCAUGGACCUAUAAUAUUGUAUUAUUUUUAGAUAUACAACAUAAUGACCUGAUAUAUGUAUAUAUUAUAAAAUGCUUACAGUUGAGUUAGCAUUCAUCACCAUACAUAAUUACAUUUUUUUUCUUGUGAUGAGGACUUUUAAGACCUACUAUCCUACCAACUUUGAAAUAUGGAAAACAUGAUUGCUAACUACAGCCACCAUGCAGUACAUUACAUCCCCAGGACUUACUUACCUUGUAACUGGAAGCUUAUACCUUUUGUCUGGUCACUUCUCCUAAACUUGGGAAGCUAUUAUUUUUUAUACCAUGCCUUUGGUCUUUGACAUCUCCUCCCAUGUGAAGGAAAUUAAUAUAAUUCCCUUCUAAAAGCCUACAUUUUGCAUCCAAGGAAAAGGAAUACACAAGCAGUGAAACAAGAUACAAUUAAUAUCUCCACAGAUUAAAUAGGUCUGUGUUUUCUCUUGCUUCAGGACAGUCCCUUUUAACUUUUUUUUUUUUUAAGUAAUCUCUACACCCAGCAUGGGGCUAGAACUCACAAUCCUGAGAUCAAGAGUCAUAUGCUCUACCAACUGAUCCAGCCAGGCACCACAGGACAGGCCCUUUUAACGCCAAUUCUUGUGGUGGCUUUUUGAUAUACUUUUUAAACAAAAAGCACUUAUUCAGAGUACUAGUCUUACACUGCCCAAGAGGGGAAGCAGAGAGAGGCAGAUGCCUUUGAGUGAAAAAUGUGAGAGGAGCCCCAAUGAUGACAUUUUGACAUUUUUUUUAAUGUUUAGUUAUUUUUGAGAGUCAGAGAGAGAGAGACAG